CCAACAAUAAACUGCAAAUUAGAGAUCUCACUCGCAUGUCAAUAUUCUCAGCCUUAUGUGCCGUAGAAAAUUCGGAUCAUCUCUCAAUUCUGUUCCUGUAGCGUCUUUAGAACAUCUUUUGUCGAUGCCAUCUUCAGUUCCUGUAUAACUAAAGCAUUGUACGCCUUGUACGGAAAUACGUUUGUUGUAACGUAUUUCUUUUAGAUCCUC